ensembl:lncRNA
CGCAGAUAGCGCCAACGACUGGCAUGCCAGGGAUGAAUGCUGGGAAAAGCACAAAGGCUGCUGUUCACAAAUCUGUGCGAAAGCGCCACAUCGCAGCGAUGGUACUGUUCUCAGCUGUGCUGCUGUCUGCACUGUUGUUGGCCUGUGGUGCUGCGUUAUGGAUGUGCAAAAAAUACCUGUGAGUUGGCUUUUCCCCAAAACACUUUAUUGCUGCAUUUGGCAAGGAGGCAUUUGUGGUGCCAGGACCCUGGACGGCCAAAUCAGUUGCUGGCAGUACACUGCCAGGACUUACGUUGCAAAGUCUUUCAAGUUUCCCCUUAUUUCCUGUCAGUGAGUAGUGCUUUCUGAAACUCAUUCUCACAGAGUGUGCAAGAGAGAAGAAAGAGCAGCAGAACGAGCUCUUCCUGAUACCAACUGAGAGAGUGUUCCAGCUGGAGAUGAGGGCAGAACGGAGCUGGGAGAGGCAACAAGAGAGACUCCUGCCCAACCAAACCAGAAUCUCAACAAUAGUUCCAGUCCAUUCCAUUCUACCAUCCAAGAUACCAAAGGUCUUCAAAGUCAUCUGGAAGACCUGGAGCGUGAACUCAAAGCCAAAAAAGAAGUCCACGGGAACAGUCCUGAGUGCUGCUUUCUGUCAGAGGACAGCC